GUCAACAUAGCUCAAUUGGCAGAGCGCAUGUAUUGUGAACAUGAGGUUGCGGGUUCGAAUCCCGUUGUUGGGU
rnacentral:tRNA from 1 species